UACGUAGGAUGCAAGCGUUGUCCGGAUUUACUGGGCGUAAAGAGCGCGCAGGCGGUCGUUCAAGUCGAGUGUGAAAGCCCCCGGCUCAACUGGGGAGGGUCACUCGAUACUGAUCGACUCGAAGGCAGGAGAGGGAAGUGGAAUUCCCGGUGUAGUGGUGAAAUGCGUAGAUAUCGGGAGGAACACCAGUGGCGAAGGCGACUUCCUGGCCUGUUCUUGACGCUGAGGCGCGAAAGCUAGGGGAGCAAACGGG
rnacentral:rRNA from 1 species